rnacentral:lncRNA from 1 species
AAAGAAAAAGUGAGACGAGAGGUAAAAAUGGACAAGUGUUCGAUAGUAGAAUUAGGGGUACAAGAUACCCACCUGAGAGAAAAGAAAAAGAAAAUAUAGAGCAUCUCAUUCUCCUCAAAAAGUUUCAAAAGAGCAAGAAAGGUAUGUAUCUCCUCAAAAGAGCACAAGUAGAAUUAGACUUUCACCAUUGUUAUCACCAUCAUCACCAUACAUCAUUCGCCACACAUGCACAUCUUGAUUUGACUUAUUGACUUGUUCUUCUGGAUCUAUGGUUUGACUAUGCAAUAAAUGUCUUGUAAGUAUGUAUUAGCUGUCUCCCACCUAUGAGCUCCAGAUAUCAAAAGCCUUAUUAGAGUAGGGUGAGAGAGAGGGCAAUGCCACUAUGCCUCAUACCAAAAAUACCACAUACUU